GACGAACCGUGCGAACGUUAUUCGGAAUCACUGGGCUUAAAGCGCGUGUAGGCGGGACGGCGCGUCGGUCGCUGAAAGCCCCCGGCUCAACCGGGGAAGUGGCGCCGAUACGGCCGACCUGGAGGGACGUAGGGGGACCUGGAACUUCCGGUGGAGAGGUGAAAUGCGUUGAGAUCGGAAGGAACGCCCGUGGCGAAAGCGAGGUCCUGGACGUCUGCUGACGCUGAGACGCGAAAGCCAGGGGAGCGAACGGG
rnacentral:rRNA from 1 species